AAACUUUGGAACAGCUGCACCUUUAUCAGGCUGCAACAUCAGAAUGCCAAAAUCAUAACAUAUUCGCAAUAGAAAAUAUCACGAAGAUUCUAAGGUACAAUAAUAUAUAUGCAGAUUUUUACUCUUCAUGCCAUGCACAGUGAUAACAUACGACGGAAGAAAAGAAAAACUAACAGUUUCAUCCCCUCGAUUAGCUGGUCUUAAUCGAGAUCUUCCCGGUGUACCAUGGCUGCUGUCAUAGGAAUUAUUCUUUCCUUCCCAAGAGGGACUAUCUCUUCCAGCAGGAGCUCUAGCCUGACGAUGAAGGGGUGACCGUUCAACGCUGUGCUCAGACCCAGCAGUAC
rnacentral:lncRNA from 1 species